AGGGCCGCUACCACGCGAGUGGAUGCCAAUCCCCAAAACCUCUCUCAGUUCGGACUGGAGUCUGCAACCCGACUCCACGAAGCUGGAUUCGCUAGUAAUCGCGCAUCAGCCAUGGCGCGGUGAAUACGUUCCCGGGCCUUGUACACACCGCCCGUCAAGCCAUGGGAGCCGGGAGCGCUUGAAGUGCGUCGCCGCGAGGCGCGCCCUAGAGCGAGACCGGUGACUGGGGCUAAGUCGUAACAAGGUAAC
rnacentral:rRNA from 1 species